ACUGGGGGUGUUCAUUUACUUAACAAGAAGAGUGUUCUUGGUUUGAACAGUCUAAAAUGAUUACAUGGGAGAGAAGGAGGAGGGUGAGAGGCAUAUGAUUUAGUAGUUACCAUACAAAUUUGUCCUGACAAUGUUUAAUUUUGCCUGAUUUAUCCACCAAUUUUGGAAGAAACGUUUCAUUUAUGAAACUUUUUCAUGGCAAACUUUGAAUCCUGUUUAGGGGUAUUUUGAGAGGAUGGAGAGAGAAGGGGUUUGUGUGUUUCACAUUUUCUCACAGUGGAUUUGGAGAGAGGCUCACUGUCACUUAUUAAAAUAACUAAGUUUAGAAUGUAAAAUUGUUGUAGAAACUGUAGAAGUUGGGUAAGAAGGAGUGGAUUUAUAGGUGAAAUGGGUUUGUAAACUCUGCCUCUCUGCUUUGGGAUCAUUUUUUAGUAUGUGCCAGGUAUUCAUCUGAUUUCCAUCUUGACUUGGUUGUGGCUCUCUCUCUGUCUGUGUGAGGCUUGGAUGUUCCCUGUUUUAAAGCUGGAGUUGUCACAGCAUGGGCGUUUUCUGUUUCAGCUUAUGGCAUUUUUUUCUCCUUUCCUGAAUGGGUGUCCUUUGCAUAACCCCAGUAAUUCAGAAAUCCUUCAGUCAUAGGGACUGCCCUGUCAUGUGACUUAGGUACUAGGUGCAGACUGCGAUUGGUCAGCAGCUAAUUGGCGGUCUCUAUAAGAGGUCCUGCUUCUGGAGUCAGACCACUUUCCUGCCUGGGCGGCUGCUCAACAGAGGCCUGGUGGGUGUGGAGGGGAGAGGGGUGGUUGUCCAGUGAUUCAGCCACAUGUGAUAGAUGACCAAGUGACUGCUUCUUUUAGGGUCUAUGUGCAUCAGUGGAAGACACCCAACGGGUUGUGGCUGACGAUCAGACUCUGGCUUCCUGAACUGGAAUGAAAUGCAGAUAACUUCUUAGAAAACUUGUAAGCAAAGCUCCUCAUGUGAUCUGGAACAAAGACAUUUUAUAAUCAGAUUUACCAAGCUGUGAAGAGAGAGUUUUAAUGAAUGGAAGCAGCAUUCUAUCACCAGGAAAUACUGCUCUAUCCAGAACUGGUAAGUAAAAAGUGGCAUUGCUCCCUAAUGGAUAUCAUAUGGUGUGUGUGGCAAUUGUGAAAUUGUUCACAGACCCCUUAAGAACUGUGUUGAACCAGACAACACAUAAACAGAGUAAGGAAUUCUAAAGAGUAGCAGCCCAAGAAUAUAGCAUAAAGGCUGAGAAGCCUUAAGGCAGUUAAUAAAGAUGAACUGAGCAUUACCAGUUUAGCCAAAUAUAUGUAAUAUAACUAGCUUGUCCCCCCCUUUUUACCUUUUCUGUUUGAAGGGAGGAAAAUUAAAAUGGGUUGUUUGGUAGAGUUGCAGCAUUGACUUUCCAUGGAUGUAGAUUUCCAUUUAGUCUGAAUAGUAUGUAUGAUUUUUGAAAGGAUGCUUUUAGAAUUAGUCAAGAUACCCUUCUUUUCUAUCCCUCUACCCAAGGAGGUCAGGUAUUUAGAACUCUACAAAAUGAAAGUUUAAGUAAUGCAUUAGAAACAUUUCCUACUGAUUAUUAAAGACAGAUUAAGAUGACAAUAGGUUUUUUUUAUGUUUGUAUCAUGAAUUUUAAAAUUGUUCUAUUUGAUUACACCAGUAUAGGAAAAGGGUAGUUAUUCCUAUAUGGUUCAUUAGAUUUUGAGAAGUCCUGAUUAAUAGUUCUUACUGAUGUGCCUGUCUAUCUGUCUUUCUUUAAAGUGUUAAUUGUUUGUUAAAAUCUUGAGUCUGAGCUGCCCUGUAUUUAAGAUGUUGAGAAUAAUACAAUAAAGCUUUGGAUACCUGUGUUCUAUACAGUAAGCUCUUGUGAACUCUAAAGGAACACAGGUUUAUAUUAGGUGUGAAUGUCAGAUUUCUUGACUUGGCUUCUUAAGAAUUGUUUGCUGGAAAAGUUAAAUAGAAUAAGAAAAUAAAAUUAGAAUGAUGGUCAGCGACUUGAUUUUACUUGUUUUUUAUUGAUCAAUAGAAGUAAUCAUAUGAUGAAUACUUAUAGAAUCAUAUGCUAAAGAAUUGUUCUUUAACUGCUAGCAAUUAUUGGUAACUUUGGUGAUCUCUCUUUAUAAAUGUAAACACAUAAUUAAAACUGUUACUAUCAGUCAUACUCUGAUAAGUUUCAGGUUAUAUAAUCUUAUUUAUUUCUUCAGUAUCUUAAGCCAAAUUGAAAGUUAAAUCUGCAUUUGUGAAUUGGGUUCCCAUUCUAUUGCUCUCAGAAUCUUAAAAUCCAUAACUUGAAAGGGGAAAAUGUAUAAUAAAAAACAACAUAGCAAUGCUGCAGUUUGUCUCUGGCACUAGAGUGGGAUGAAGGUGGAGAAGAGAAAAAUGAAUCUAGUGGUAUGCAUUAAUUGGUAUUUUUAUGUACUUUGAGAACUUUAAAAAACAUUUUCUCAGACUAAUAGCUUUCAAAGACAUAGAUAAAAAAACAAGGUAAGCAUGGCCUUUAGGGGCAGGUCCUCCCAUAACCAGGUUGGUGAUCCAAAUGUGUGAAUAUUACAGGUUAUUUGACUUAAUUAAGGUGUAACUGAGGAUGUGGAAAAAUGCUGCUCAGUUCCAUAAAGUACAUGAAUUUAUAGGUUUUAGAGUCUUAAAGAUAGAAAAAUGGUGAUGAAGCAUUGAGAUAUUUACAGGUAAUAUAUAUCCAUCUGCUAGCUUGUAUUCAGUGAUUCAUAAUUCAGCUCUAUAUUCUGUGUAAAUACUUGGAAAAAACAUGAUUUAAUAAUCUGACUGAAGACUUCCAUGCUUAAUGGGAAAAAAGCCUCUAUAUAAUUUGUAGAUUUGACUCAUCCAUUUAGAAUCCAUUGUUUUGAAUGACAAAAAUAUGAUAGAAGCAGGUUGAAAAAAUAAAUGCUAGAAAAUAUAUUCCAGAGGAAAGCUUUUAGCUCUUCAUGUUUUCAAUUCAUGUUUUCAUGUUUUAAAAAUGCAUGUAAAAUAAAUAAUAUAGCAUUUUUAUUCUCCAUUGUGUUUACUGAGAGUAUUAAUAUUUUUAUGUACUCUAUAAACAGUGUGCACCUGACUUUGCGGGUAUGUAAAGCUACAAACUAAAGGGAAUCAGGUCAAGUGACACACUUCAGAAUACUUUUCUCUCAGAUUGUGUAUUUGGUAUUUUCAUAGUCAGAAACAUAAACGCUCUCCCUUUGGGUUUGUUUAUUAAAUUUUUGAUGUGGUAUACAGUUUUGUCCAAUUUUUUUAUUAAUUGUUUUAGAUUACCUUUCAGUCCCCUUAUUUCUGCCCUCCUCCCCCCCGCCCCCAGCAAUCAACACACUGUUGUCCAUGUCCAGAGUCCUUUGUCCUUUUUGCUCAAUCCCUUCACCAAUUUUUAAGGUAUGUAUGUGUAUGUGUUUAUAUGUUUGGAAGGGAGAGCUUUAAUUGCUAGCAAAGUAAGUGGCUGUUUGUUAGAACCUAGAUAAGCUUCAUAGUGUUGUUCCUAUGACAACUGAAGAGUUGGCUGUUAAAAUGUAGCUUUAAGUUUCAGUUUGGAAAUGUCAUUCAGACCUCCCACUAUAGUCUCAUUGAGUAGGAGGAUAAUGAGAAGGGGAAAAACCAUGAAGCAACAUAAGUAUCUCCAUUUGUUUCGUGUCUUCCUGACUUGCCUUUGUGUAUGGAUCACCAUGGAAGUGGUAAACCCUAAAUAUUGAACAAAGCAAUACUUUAGUACAGAAUAAAUGGAAAGGGGUCAGAAAAGUUAGGGAAGGUAAACAAUAUAUGAGAGUAGUAGUCAGGAGAAGUUGGCUUCCAUGGGUUUUGUUAAUCUUUUAUCCAGUGCUGACCAGCAGUGAGAACAUCUUGAACCAGUUACAGUGUAGCUUUUCAAGAGCCUCAAAUAUUUCCUUAAAUUGCAAUAUGGAGAAAAUUAUUUGGGAAACAGGAUAGUUUACCAUUUAGGCAUCACAUUUAUUUAUUUCCACUAGGCUGAUUACAGAGCAUACUCUAUUCUUUUAAGGUAUAUGCUUUUAAAUCAAUUAUUUGUCAUUUAAUAGCUUGUCUUUUUUCUAGAGGAAAGAUAAAGUUGUGCUAUUAAAAUAGCGGCAAAACUUAGGUAUUUUACCUGAUGUUCAAAAAUUACUUUAAAAAACCCUUAAAGAUUGUUUGAGACCUGUUGUUUGUGGAAAUGAUUUGGUUGACUGAGAAUAUUAUGGCACACUGCAUUUGGGGGCAGAGGUUGUUGACUAAUGCUUGGGAUAGAUUAGUUACGCUGUGUGGAUUUUCCAUGCCUGAAGGGUUUCCUAGUCAUUACUCGUAAAUGGUUUUGACUAUUUAUUUGGUCAUUAGCAUAUCAGAAGUAGAAAGGAAAAACAGACUUUAAUCAGUUUUAUCCAUUUUUUAAUAUAUAGGUUCACCAUCUCUUCUGAAAUCCAAAAAACUUUAAAAACCAAAAGAUUUUAAUGUCAAAUUUGGCAGCAAAUCAUAACUUGAUCUAAUGUGAAACUUUUUGUAGUCUUCAUUCAUCCACUUAGAAUGAAUGUUAGUAUGUUUUAUUAUAGCAAUACCAAUGUAUUUGAUCACAGAGGGCUGCACCAGACCUGUCUCCACUCUGAGAUUUUCUAUAGUUAGAAUAGUCACCCUAUUACAUUUAUAAAAUCAUUGUAAGAAUUAUCAAUCUGAGGAUCAGAUAAGGGUUUGUGGACUUCUAAUUACUGGUAUGCAUGGAGCUCAUAUAUGUGUUAGGCACUACUCCAAAUGAAUCACUGGCAUCUAGAACAGUGCCUGGCACAUACUCAGUAAAUGUUUGGGUAUAAAAAUACUUUAUAUAUGUAUUAACUUAUUUAAUUCUCACAAAAACUGUGUAUAACCAGUAUGAUUAUCUCCAUUUUGCAUGGGGAAACAGAUGCACAGAGAGGUGAAACAACUUGCCCAAAUUAACUCAACCAAGAAGUUGUAGAGCCAGGAUUUGAAAGCAAGCAGUCUAGCUACACUCUGUUCUUACUGAGUCUAGGUAUGCGAAAGGUAUGAGAAAGGCUUGGAGAUCUGGCACUGGAACUCUUGACUGAAUCAGAAAGAUGUUUCAACUGUUUAUUCCUUGUCACCCUGUGCCUGUUGUCAUCAAAAGCUGAUGGCAUUACCAUCAUGGUCAUUACCAGGGGCCUGCAGCAGAAUGCUUAUUUAUAACAGGUUCUCCUAGGUGGGUGUGUGGGAGUUCCAGGAGUCUCAGAGGCUCCUAUUUUGUUUAUAGUUUUCCCAACAUUGAUCUCUAUCAACAGCCUGACUUCUUUAUCUGGAAAAAUUAAGACACACAAAAUAAUUAUUUCCUUAGCCCCAAGGAAAUUAUCUUGAAUAGUGGAAAAAGUUAUUGCAUAGACAUUCUUAUCAGGAGGUCUGGGUUUUGAGGAAAGAGAGUAUGGGUCACCUUGAAGUAGUGAGCUCCCUGGCAUGAGAGCUACACUAAGACAAAGCAAGGGCCCCUUGGGGGAAAUCAGGCAGCCUGGGAAUCAGACUGGGAAUCAAACCAGCAACCUUUUGGUUUUCAGGCCAGCAUUUAGUCCACUGAGCCACAUCAGUCAGGGCAUUUUUCUUUUAAAUUCUUAAAGGAACAGAUUAGAUACAUAUAAAAGUUGAAUAUAAUAUGCUUUGUAAGUAAUUGUAAUAAUUGGCAUUUGGUUUCUCUUGGCUAUAUUUUAAUAACAGUAGUUUCUAGUUUCUGUAAAUGGUCAAUGUAAUAAGAUAAUAAUUUGCUUAAAAACAAAGCAUAACUGGUACUUAAAAGUAAAAGAUGGAG